AUUUUCAGCCUUACACGAAAUCAAGCAAGCGUAGACGAAUCGCAUUUUCAGCUCGCAACAUCAUGGCACCUACUAUGCAUUCCCAAGAUCAUACACGAAAUAUUCGAAACAGCAAUCGGGUUAUAAAAUGCAAAAGCAAAUACGUCCCAGACUGCAACUUCUGAGUGCAGGUCCAAUUGAAUAAUAAAUAUAUAAUAUAAUACGGUACUGGAAGGUACACGACAGGAAAUACGGUUCAAUUGAAUUUUCUACACGAGCUGCACAUAACGCUCCGUAAAAGUUACUUGGCACUGUUUGGUUUCCAGGUACAGAUUAUUGAGGAUCUCGGAUGGCUAGACUCCAGAUUACUGAAUCAAAAUCUCCAUCAUUCUAUAAACAGAUACAAUUCUGGAGCUCCAGCAUCAACUUAUUGUUUCUGCCACUGCAAGGAGAAGGAAUCAAUUAAAAACCUGGUAAUUAAAGACUAAUUGUCUAAUUCCAUGUCUGAUGUGGAGCAUUUGAAAUGCAAACGAGGCACAGUAAACAGCAAUGCCUUUGGAAGACAAAUGGGGAGUGCCUAUCUGCCCAAAAGAUAUGGCUCCAGCAAGUAAAGUACUCCCUCCAUUCCAAAAUAUAGUGAAUGUUGACAUACAUACAAACUACAUUCAUAAAUUAAUUAAUGGAUGCAUGUUUAGUCUAUAACGAAUUAUAUUUGGGAUGAAGGGAGUAUACAAGGUCUUACUAACCAUAACAAAAACUCCGCUAGCAGGGAAGUUAUAUUGUUUGAAAGAAGAAACCAGUCUUCAACAGACCGAUAAACAGCACUGAACCCUGACAGUGGACCCUAUAGCGCCACACCAUAACCUAGGCCAGUGACCACAAACCCACCACGACCUGGUUUGGGCACCCUGGCACAACCCCUAGGUAGGACCAGCUCUCACACAGGCUGACUACCAUAGACCAGCGCCCUGCCACUAUUUUAUGGGUUGCUAGCGAGGGAGUUUUCUUAACCAUCCCUGAAACUCGCUCCCACAGGGAGUCAACUAGGCACUGGAGGUGCUACUCUAGAGUGUAGCUAUGAGCCAUUUCGCUUAUUAAGCAUAAGUGCAUAACCACUUUGUAUCCAUUAGAAACUUCUGGAUAAAGCAAUGAAAACAAAAACUCGACAGCACCUAUGACAAAAACUGAUGUAUACAGCUAUGACAAAAGUAAUUGGUCUUGUACUCAAAUUCAUUUGUUUCUUUGGGAAAUGGUCAAUUAUUAGGUCAAGAGUCAAAAGUAAAUUAAACUAUUUUUAUAACUAGAUUUUGGAUCAGGCCAAGGUGCGGAUUGCAUGCCCAAUGCCCACUGGAUCUGUGAUGCAGAGAGUAUAAGUGGCUUCUUAUGACGAAAUAGACUCAUGCCCACUAAAUUUUUGGUACAAUCAAACUAAGACAUAAGCCAAAGAUAAAAAUGAACUGCUGCUGAAAGCUCAAGAAGCAACUUACAGUAUUAACAUAGUACACAGGUGCUCAUAACCCUCACUUAAACUAUAUCCUGAGUCACACAUGCAUCAAUCAAUUGGGAUUUAUUAUGCGUGUACAAUUUAUACGUGAACACGGGUGCUAACUUCCUUUCCAGCACACUUACAGCAAUUUAUAGGCGAACAAAGGUGCAUCUAGUAUAUAGCAAUAUAAUAUGGCUCCUCAAACUUACCCUCUAGAUGUUACUUGCAGCAAUUCGAUAAACUUAAAAGUUCAGUGUAAACAUAACAUUCUUCAACAAAAAACUAAUGCAUAUAUAGGUAUUGCAUUUUUUUUAACUUUUUCCAAUGAACACUAGAUGCUGGAACUGUGCUGCUGCACGACGCUGUAAGUAUUGCAGUUAAUAUAAAUCACUAAUUUGUUGGAAGUACCCUAUCACUUACAUUAAAUUCCAAUGGCCAGUCUUCAGCAUUUUAAGAUAAAAUGAUAAUCUGUUUAGACCAACUC
rnacentral:lncRNA from 1 species